UACGGAGGAGGCAAGCGUUAUCCGGAAUGAUUGGGCGUAAAGCGUCCGCAGGUGGCUAUGUAAGUCUGCUGUUAAAGAGUGAGGCUCAACCUCAUAAAAGCAGUGGAAACUACAUGGCUAGAGUGCGUUCGGGGCAGAGGGAAUUCCUGGUGUAGCGGUGAAAUGCGUAGAGAUCAGGAAGAACACCGGUGGCGAAAGCGCUCUGCUAGGCCGCAACUGACACUGAGGGACGAAAGCUAGGGGAGCGAAUGGG
rnacentral:rRNA from 1 species